rnacentral:rRNA from 1 species
CGAAAGCCUGACGGAGCAACGCCGCGUGAGGGACGAAGGCCUCUGGGCUGUAAACCUCUUUUCUCAAGGAAGAAGAUCUGACGGUACUUGAGGAAUAAGCCACGGCUAAUUUCGUGCCAGCAGCCGCGGUAAUACGGGAGUGGCAAGCGUUAUCCGGAAUUAUUGGGCGUAAAGCGUCCGCAGGCGGCUUUGUAAGUCUGCUGUCAAAGCGUGGAGCUCAACUCCAUUUCGGCAGUGGAAACUACGAGGCUUGAGUGUGGUAGGGGCAGAGGGAAUUCCCGGUGUAGCGGUGAAAUGCGUAGAUAUCGGGAAGAACACCAGUGGCGAAGGCGCUCUGCUGGGCCAUAACUGACGCUCAUGGACGAAAGCCAGGGGAGCGAAAGGGAUUAGAUACCCCUGUAGUCCUGGCCGUAAACGAUGAACACUAGGUGUCGGGGGAAUCGACCCCCUCGGUGUCGUAGCCAACGCGUUAAGUGUUCCGCCUGGGGAGUACGCACGCAAGUGUGAAACUCAAAGGAAUUGACGGGGGCCCGCACAAGCGGUGGAGUAUGUGGUUUAAUUCGAUGCAACGCGAAGAACCUUACCAGGGUUUGACAUCCUGCGAAUCUCUUGGAAACGAGGGAGUGCCUUCGGGAGCGCAGAGACAGGUGGUGCAUGGCUGUCGUCAGCUCGUGUCGUGAGAUGUUGGGUUAAGUCCCGCAACGGGCGCAACCCACGUCUUUAGUUGCCAGCAUUCAGUUGGGCACUCUAGAGAGACCGCCGGUGAUAAACCGGAGGAAGGUGUGGAUGACGUCAAGUCAUCAUGCCCCUUACAUCCUGGGCUACACACGUACUACAAUGCUACGGACAAAGGGCAGCAAACUCGCGAGAGCUAGCAAAUCCCAUGAACCGUGGCUCAGUUCAGAUCGUAGGCUGCAACUCGCCUACGUGAAGGAGGAAUCGCUAGUAAUCGCAGGUCAGCAUACUGCGGUGAAUACGUUCCCGGGCCUUGUACACACCGCCCGUCACACCAUGGAAGUUGGCCAUGCCCGAAGUCGUUACUCCAACCCUUGUGGAGGAGGACGCCGAAGGUGGGGCUGAUGACUGGGGUGAAGUCGUAACAAGGUAGCCGUACCGGAAGGUGCGGCUGGAUCACCUCCUAACAGGGAGACA